rnacentral:piRNA from 1 species
UGGAGAAUUCUUACAGUGUACUUUCCUCCC